rnacentral:rRNA from 1 species
GACGAACGCUGGCGGCGUGCUUAACACAUGCAAGUCGAACGGAAAGGCCCUGCUUUUGUGGGGUGCUCGAGUGGCGAACGGGUGAGUAACACGUGAGUAACCUGCCCUUGACUUUGGGAUAACUUCAGGAAACUGGGGCUAAUACCGGAUAGGAGCUCCUGCUGCAUGGUGGGGGUUGGAAAGUUUCGGCGGUUGGGGAUGGACUCGCGGCUUAUCAGCUUGUUGGUGGGGUAGUGGCUUACCAAGGCUUUGACGGGUAGCCGGCCUGAGAGGGUGACCGGCCACAUUGGGACUGAGAUACGGCCCAGACUCCUACGGGAGGCAGCAGUGGGGAAUAUUGCACAAUGGGCGGAAGCCUGAUGCAGCAACGCCGCGUGCGGGAUGACGGCCUUCGGGUUGUAAACCGCUUUCGCCUGUGACGAAGCGUGAGUGACGGUAAUGGGUAAAGAAGCACCGGCUAACUACGUGCCAGCAGCCGCGGUGAUACGUAGGGUGCGAGCGUUGUCCGGAUUUAUUGGGCGUAAAGGGCUCGUAGGUGGUUGAUCGCGUCGGAAGUGUAAUCUUGGGGCUUAACCCUGAGCGUGCUUUCGAUACGGGUAGACUUGAGGAAGGUAGGGGAGAAUGGAAUUCCUGGUGGAGCGGUGGAAUGCGCAGAUAUCAGGAGGAACACCAGUGGCGAAGGCGGUUCUCUGGGCCUUUCCUGACGCUGAGGAGCGAAAGCGUGGGGAGCGAACAGGCUUAGAUACCCUGGUAGUCCACGCUGUAAACGGUGGGUACUAGGUGUGGGGUCCAUUCCACGGGUUCCGUGCCGUAGCUAACGCUUUAAGUACCCCGCCUGGGGAGUACGGCCGCAAGGCUAAAACUCAAAGGAAUUGACGGGGCCCCGCACAAGCGGCGGAGCAUGCGGAUUAAUUCGAUGCAACGCGUAGAACCUUACCUGGGUUUGACAUGGAUCGGGAGUGCUCAGAGAUGGGUGUGCCUCUUUUGGGGUCGGUUCACAGGUGGUGCAUGGCUGUCGUCAGCUCGUGUCGUGAGAUGUUGGGUUAAGUCCCGCAACGAGCGCAACCCUUGUUCACUGUUGCCAGCACGUUAUGGUGGGGACUCAGUGGAGACCGCCGGGGUCAACUCGGAGGAAGGUGGGGAUGACGUCAAGUCAUCAUGCCCCUUAUGUCCAGGGCUUCACGCAUGCUACAAUGGCUGGUACAGAGAGUGGCGAGCCUGUGAGGGUGAGCGAAUCUCGGAAAGCCGGUCUCAGUUCGGAUUGGGGUCUGCAACUCGACCUCAUGAAGUCGGAGUCGCUAGUAAUCGCAGAUCAGCAACGCUGCGGUGAAUACGUUCCCGGG